GAUUAUGAUGAGAAAUGAAAUUUACACAGACCUGUACCGACCUUUCUUUGAAGGGGAUGCAGAUAACGAUUUUAUUGCCUUUUUUUUCUGAUU
rnacentral:snoRNA from 1 species